GACGAACGCUGGCGGCGUGCUUAACACAUGCAAGUCGAACGGAAAGGCCCUGCUUUUGUGGGGUGCUCGAGUGGCGAACGGGUGAGUAACACGUGAGUAACCUGCCCUUGACUUUGGGAUAACUUCAGGAAACUGGGGCUAAUACCGGAUAGGAGCUCCUGCUGCAUGGUGGGGGUUGGAAAGUUUCGGCGGUUGGGGAUGGACUCGCGGCUUAUCAGCUUGUUGGUGGGGUAGUGGCUUACCAAGGCUUUGACGGGUAGCCGGCCUGAGAGGGUGACCGGCCACAUUGGGACUGAGAUACGGCCCAGACUCCUACGGGAGGCAGCAGUGGGGAAUACUGCACAAUGGGCGGAAGCCUGAUGCAGCGACGCCGCGUGCGGGAUGACGGCCUUCGGGUUGUAAACCGCUUUCGCCUGUGACGAAGCGUGAGUGACGGUAAUGGGUAAAGAAGCACCGGCUAACUACGUG
rnacentral:rRNA from 1 species